GGUCAUUGUACAUACAAAGUUACGAUCAGGACAGAAAUUGGGGGCUGAGAGAUUGGAAUAGCUGGAGUGACAGCACAGAGCCAGGACAUGACAUAGCUGAGGUUCAAAGCUAGGUCUGUUUGACUCCAAAGCCUCGCUAGUCUCAUCCCUCCUCUCCACAGCCUCUCAUGUAGCAGGACCUGAUGGCACUGAGCCUGGGCAGCAUGGAGUGCUGCAGGGAAAUGCGCUCUGGCAUCUCUGGAAGCCAUGCAAGCCACCCAGUUCGUGACACUUCUUGGCUAGAACACCAAGAGUUAUUCCAACCUCCCUGUAUAGAUGAGAUGUUAGAAGAGGAAGAGAUGGAGGUGACCUGCUCAGGCUGACGAACGGACCACCGAUGCUGAGAUCUGCACCUGUACCCUGUGUGCUCCUGUAUACUGCUAGUUGGGAAGCUCCUUGGGGGGCAGGCACUCCUUGGCCUUGCUCACCACGUCCCCAGUGUUUACAUCAGUGCCUGGCACAGCAUAAGGCAAUACUAGUCCACUGAAUGAAUAAAUUAAUGCUCUUUCUGGCAAUUUACCCAGAGCAUCACAACUACAUUAAGAUCAUUAAGGAAGAAAAGCACAUCACAUUGGAACAUGAGUUCCAAUAACUCUUGGUAGUUGUCACAACAAAGAGUUUCAUACUUUGUAUUCAAAUACCC
ensembl:lncRNA